ACGAACGCUGGCGGCAGGCUUAACACAUGCAAGUCGAACGCCCCGCAAGGGGAGUGGCGCACGGGUGAGUAACGCGUGGGAACGUGCCUUUUAGUUUGGGAUAACAGUUGGAAACGACUGCUAAUACCGGAUACGCCCUUCGGGGGAAAGAUUUAUCGCUAAAAGAUCGGCCGCGUUAGAUUAGCUAGUUGGUGGGGUAAUGGCCUACCAAGGCGACGAUCUAUAGCUGGUCUGAGAGGAUGACCAGCCACACUGGAACUGAGACACGGUCCAGACUCCUACGGGAGGCAGCAGUGGGGAAUAUUGGACAAUGGGCGCAAGCCUGAUCCAGCCCAUGCCGCGUGAGUGAUGAAGGCCUUAGGGUUGUAAAGCUCUUUUGUCAGGGAAGAUAAUGACGGUACCUGAAGAAUAAGCACCGGCUAACUUCGUGCCAGCAGCCGCGGUAAUACGAAGGGUGCUAGCGUUGUUCGGAAUUACUGGGCGUAAAGCGCGCGUAGGCGGCCAUUCAAGUCAGAGGUUGAAAUCCUUGGGCUCAACCCAAGAAUUGCCUUUGAAACUGUAUGGCUAGAGUGUCGGAGGGGAUAGCGGAAUUCCUAAUGUAGAGGUGAAAUUCGUAGAUAUUAGGAGGAAACACCGGUGGCGAAGGCGGCUAUCUGGACGACAACUGACGCUGAGGCGCGAAAGCACGGGGAUCAAACAGGAUUAGAUACCCUGGUAGUCCGUGCUGUAAACGAUGGAUGCUAGCCGUUCGGGGGUUACCCCUGAGUGGCGCAGCUAACGCGUUAAGCAUCCCGCCUGGGGAGUACGGUCGCAAGAUUAAAACUCAAAGAAAUUGACGGGGACCCGCACAAGCGGUGGAACAUGUGGUUUAAUUCGAGGCAACGCGAAGAACCUUACCAGGAUUCGACAUGUCCCUUUUGGCUUCCCGAAAAGGAAGCCUUCACUUCGGGUGGGGGGAACACAGGUGCUGCAUGGCUGUCGUCAGCUCGUGUCGUGAGAUGUUGGGUUAAGUCCCGCAACGAGCGCAACCCUCGUCCUCUGUUGCUACCAGGUAAUGCUGAGCAACUCUGAGGAAACUGCCGGUGAUAAGCCGGAGGAAGGUGGGGAUGACGUCAAGUCCUCAUGGCCCUUACAUCCUGGGCUACACACGUGUUACAAUGGUGGUGACAAUGGGUCGCUAACCCGCGAGGGUAUGCCAAUCCCUAAAAGCCACCUCAGUUCGGAUUGUACUCUGCAACUCGAGUACAUGAAGCUGGAAUCGCUAGUAAUCGUGGAUCAGAACGCCACGGUGAAUACGUUCCCGGGUCUUGUACACACCGCCCGUCACACCAUGGGAGUUGGUUCUACCUUAAGUCGCCCUCAAAAGCGCCCACGGUAGGGUCAAUGACUGGGGUG
rnacentral:rRNA from 1 species